GGCAGAUGAUGUCUUCACUCACGAUGGUCUGCGGAGGCCUCUGGCGCUGCCGACAAUGCCAAUGGCUCAGCUGAUGCCAGCAG